UAUAUAUCUGAUUGUGUUCGUCUGAAAAAGGAUUUACAUAUAAACCUAGGAUGGCUUGAGGAAUUGGUCACACCAAAGCGUCCUCGUUUCCAAUGUAUGGCUGGAAACAGACCACAAGCUCCAGUCUUCGAGGAGAAUAGGCAACAGCACAAGCCACAAGACAGUAAGUAACCUGCAAGAACAAAUUUUUUGAAGCUGUUUACAUCAUACUAACCAAUAAAUAUAAAAAGCAACCAAUACAAAAUGUUUAUUGCUAUUUAUUAUCAGGCAGAAAUGCUACAACACCUUGCCCAUCAAGUAAGUGGUAAUAGUUUGCAAACUAUCAUGGAAAAGUUAAUUUAUUUCAGUAAUUCAACUCAAAUUGUGGAACUCGUGUAUUAAAUAAAUUCAGUGUAUGCAGACUGAAGUACUUCUUUGGUUCUUUUAAUUGUGAUUAACUUUUCCACAACAUUCUAAUUUAUUGAAAUGCACCUGUAUAGGCUAUAUAAACAAACUUUUAAACAAAUGAUUUUGGACCUUCAGUGUUUGGUCCCUAGUAAUAUGAAAAAUGGAAAUGAAUAUAGGCUAUGUACCUUGCUCUGUAAUUAAAACAAGUAUCAUUUCAGAAAUGAAGUUCCAUGCUCUAGCAUAAAAAUGACUUAAUAGCUUAGUCUGCAAAGUAAGAUAAUAUCCAAUGGCUCAUUUCAUGGCAUUAACAUUUUAAAUGUAAAUUUUACUUUUGUGGUAACUGGUAUGAUACAAUAAAGCUUUUUUUUUUUUCACUUACAGCAUCAGCAUUGUCCUGUAAAACUGGAUGUCAGGGGACUGAUGAUAAAGAGCAAAAUUACCUCACACUUAAUAGAAAACUUGAUGAAGUCAUAAGAGAGCUGCGUCAGUUACGGGAAAUCAUACUGCAACAGCAACAGCAGCAAGAAGUUGAAGAACAGGCCAACAUUGAACAGAUGCAGACAGAAGAGCAGCUGUCUGCAUUCUGUGUAAAACUGACUCAAGAAAGUCAAUUUAGAAAAUCCAUGAUGGCAUUCAGUGUGAGACUGUGUUCUGGCACAGUUGGCCAAUCAGUCAGAAGAAUAAUGCGGGCAAUCGGAACAAAUAUGCUAUGGUCCAAAUACAGCCUGAAAGGAAGAAAGGGGAAAAGUGUGUUUCAGGACCUUUCUGUGAUGCGACUGAUCACAAGAGCAUGCCUUCAAACAUUUAAGACAGCCAAGAUGCCAGAGAUAGAGGGAGAGGUGGCAGAGUUUUUGAAGCAUGCCCCGCAUAAACGUGGAGGACCAAAAACCCUCAGGACUGAUGUGCCCACAGCAGAAUGAUGAUGAUGAGACCCAAAUUGGACAGGUACAGUUUCAUAUGUUUUUUCACAAAUUAAAUAAGGUGAUGGACUAACUGUAGGCUAUUAGGACAAACAACUGAUUUAAUUGCAAUUAUUUGAAUUUCAGUCUCCUCCACUCUUCCAAUCCGACAGCGAAGACUGUUAAUGUCAAUUAAUUUGUCCUGGUUUUGUAUUUAUAGUUCCAUGUUUCUUGUUUUAAAUUGUUUUGUCUUAAAGUCGUUUUUGUGAUGUUAAGAAUGUUUCCCUGUUUACCUUUAAAUUAUUUUAGUUAAAAAUGAAUUUAAAAAUUAAAAUUUCUCUUUGUUGUUUCAUCUUCGUCGUACUCUUUAUUCCGUGACAGCUGCAGAAUCAUGUUGUACUAACAAUCCUUACGAACAUUAACCAUGGUUAUGUUAUAGUAAAUAGUAAAAUGUUUUUGUUGUUUUGCAUAUAUUGAUUUGGUUUAUGUAGUAAACCCAUGGUUAAUUCGUGGUUACCAUGGAAUAAUGGUUAAUUUUGGUUAACUUUAUAAGGAAAUCAUUGAUGUUGUAACUAAUGAGAUGAUUUAAAAAUUUGCUUACCUUUAUUUCUUCUUUUCGAUGGUUGAGCAAAUCUGUAUAUAAGUUAAGUAAAAUCAGCAGGCCUCCUAAUUUGCUUACCUCUAGCUAUGUCCAGUGAUGUUUUAAUGUUUUAACGGGUCUGCUAAAGUUUGUAGCCCAAUAGAUAUCAACUACACUGCACAGGAAUCACGAAAGACCGAUGUAAAACACAUGCAGUGAGGAACACCUCAAGGUUCCCCACAAGAGGGAAACCUCGUUUUGGUGAUUUCGGGUGAAUGAGUUAAAAACCAAGUUAAUCAAAAUUUAACUAAGUAAAUUUUAUUUAAAUUGUAUUUUAUUUGUAUAGCACAUUUAAACACAGCAAAGUUGUCCAAAGUGCUGAACAGAGUAAAACACCUGGGAGAAAAGAUUUUCAGCCUCUUUUUAAGAAGGUGCAAGAAGACCUCCAGAGAGUACCAGGUAAGACAUGAUAUCU